AGCUAGGGUGGGGCGGGGGGGGGCGGUCCGCCCCGGGUGUCACCCCUUCAGGGGUGACACCCGAGAGACCCGAUCACAAAAGAAUAAAUCAUUAAUUUGUGACUUUACUCACGUAUCAAUCUAAAGUUCGAUAUUAUUUUGUGAACACACGAAACCACAGUAUAAAUAGGGACACUAGAACUGCUCUGAGAAAAAUUGGAAGUAAAAUCGUAAAAAGAAGUAAAGAAGUAAGAAGUAAAAAAGGCGCAUGGCGACCGCGCAAGGUUCCCAGUCGCUAGACCGCUAGAGUACCACUCUCGCAUUGCUACGUACCGGUUAACUUUCGGUAGUACUUCUUGAGAUCAAAGUGCCUACAUGUAGAAGAAAUUUUACUGUUCCUCUUUAUUCUGUGACGAAACCGAGAGAAGUCGAGGUCUAAGAAGCAUUUCUUGGAUUUUUUUCCGUUAAAAGGAAAAAAGCAGUUAAUCUAAGUAACGAAAUUCUCAAGAAGCUUGAAAUUGAUGGUGUAGAAAUAUUAUGAAAUACCCGAGUACAUAAUUGAAAACUAUCCUAGAGAUAAACACUUAUUAUGCAAGAGCUUCCUUGAAUCUUCCGACAAAAUGAACUUCAAUGCAAUAGACAAGUUAAGUUCUGAACAUGUCACAAAUAUGCUUAAGGAAGUUCCCAACGCCGAAGCUACAAGGCAAUAUUUAAUACUGACUCACAACAUAUUGGAUGCAUUCUUGUUAAAAGAAAUUAGUGUUGAAAGACGAGUAUACCUAAUUUGGUAUUCAACUUUUUUCAUGCGUAUUUGGAAAGCCUGGC
rnacentral:lncRNA from 1 species